AUAAUGGGUCAGCGACUUAUAUUCUGUAGCAAGGUUAACCGAAUAGGGGAGCCGAAGGGAAACCGAGUCUUAACUGGGCGUUAAGUUGCAGGGUAUAGACCCGAAACCCGGUGAUCUAGCCAUGGGCAGGUUGAAGGUUGGGUAACACUAACUGGAGGACCGAACCGACUAAUGUUGAAAAAUUAGCGGAUGACUUGUGGCUGGGGGUGAAAGGCCAAUCAAACCGGGAGAUAGCUGGUUCUCCCCGAAAGCUAUUUAGGUAGCGCCUCGUGAAUUCAUCUCCGGGGGUAGAGCACUGUUUCGGCAAGGGGGUCAUCCCGACUUACCAACCCGAUGCAAACUGCGAAUACCGGAGAAUGUUAUCACGGGAGACACACGGCGGGUGCUAACGUCCGUCGUGAAGAGGGAAACAACCCAGACCGCCAGCUAAGGUCCCAAAGUCAUGGUUAAGUGGGAAACGAUGUGGGAAGGCCCAGACAGCCAGGAUGUUGGCUUAGAAGCAGCCAUCAUUUAAAGAAAGCGUAAUAGCUCACUGGUCGAGUCGGCCUGCGCGGAAGAUGUAACGGGGCUAAACCAUGCACCGAAGCUGCGGCAGCGACGCUGAUGCGUUGUUGGGUAGGGGAGCGUUCUGUAAGCCUGUGAAGGUGUGCUGUGAGGCAUGCUGGAGGUAUCAGAAGUGCGAAUGCUGACAUAAGUAACGAUAAAGCGGGUGAAAAGCCCGCUCGCCGGAAGACCAAGGGUUCCUGUCCAACGUUAAUCGGGGCAGGGUGAGUCGACCCCUAAGGCGAGGCCGAAAGGCGUAGUCGAUGGGAAACAGGUUAAUAUUCCUGUACUUGGUGUUACUGCGAAGGGGGGACGGAGAAGGCUAUGUUGGCCGGGCGACGGUUGUCCCGGUUUAAGCGUGUAGGCUGGUUUUCCAGGCAAAUCCGGAAAAUCAAGGCUGAGGCGUGAUGACGAGGCACUACGGUGCUGAAGCAACAAAUGCCCUGCUUCCAGGAAAAGCCUCUAAGCAUCAGGUAACAUCAAAUCGUACCCCAAACCGACACAGGUGGUCAGGUAGAGAAUACCAAGGCGCUUGAGAGAACUCGGGUGAAGGAACUAGGCAAAAUGGUGCCGUAACUUCGGGAGAAGGCACGCUGAUAUGUAGGUGAAGUCCCUCGCGGAUGGAGCUGAAAUCAGUCGAAGAUACCAGCUGGCUGCAACUGUUUAUUAAAAACACAGCACUGUGCAAACACGAAAGUGGACGUAUACGGUGUGACGCCUGCCCGGUGCCGGAAGGUUAAUUGAUGGGGUCAGCGCAAGCGAAGCUCUUGAUCGAAGCCCCGGUAAACGGCGGCCGUAACUAUAACGGUCCUAAGGUAGCGAAAUUCCUUGUCGGGUAAGUUCCGACCUGCACGAAUGGCGUAAUGAUGGCCAGGCUGUCUCCACCCGAGACUCAGUGAAAUUGAACUCGCUGUGAAGAUGCAGUGUACCCGCGGCAAGACGGAAAGACCCCGUGAACCUUUACUAUAGCUUGACACUGAACAUUGAGCCUUGAUGUGUAGGAUAGGUGGGAGGCUUUGAAGUGUGGACGCCAGUCUGCAUGGAGCCGGCCUUGAAAUACCACCCUUUAAUGUUUGAUGUUCUAACGUUGACCCGUGAUCCGGGUUGCGGACAGUGUCUGGUGGGUAGUUUGACUGGGGCGGUCUCCUCCUAAAGAGUAACGGAGGAGCACGAAGGUUGGCUAAUCCUGGUCGGACAUCAGGAGGUUAGUGCAAUGGCAUAAGCCAGCUUGACUGCGAGCGUGACGGCGCGAGCAGGUGCGAAAGCAGGUCAUAGUGAUCCGGUGGUUCUGAAUGGAAGGGCCAUCGCUCAACGGAUAAAAGGUACUCCGGGGAUAACAGGCUGAUACCGCCCAAGAGUUCAUAUCGACGGCGGUGUUUGGCACCUCGAUGUCGGCUCAUCACAUCCUGGGGCUGAAGUAGGUCCCAAGGGUAUGGCUGUUCGCCAUUUAAAGUGGUACGCGAGCUGGGUUUAGAACGUCGUGAGACAGUUCGGUCCCUAUCUGCCGUGGGCGCUGGAGAA
rnacentral:rRNA from 1 species